rnacentral:rRNA from 1 species
GACGAACGCUGGCGGCGUGCUUAACACAUGCAAGUCGAACGGAAAGGCCCUGCUUUUGUGGGGUGCUCGAGUGGCGAACGGGUGAGUAACACGUGAGUAACCUGCCCUUGACUUUGGGAUAACUUCAGGAAACUGGGGCUAAUACCGGAUAGGAGCUCCUGCUGCAUGGUGGGGGUUGGAAAGUUUCGGCGGUUGGGGAUGGACUCGCGGCUUAUCGGCUUGUUGGUGGGGUAGUGGCUUACCAAGGCUUUGACGGGUAGCCGGCCUGAGAGGGUGACCAGCCACAUUGGGACUGAGAUACGGCCCAGACUCCUAAGGGAGGCAGCAGUGGGGAAUAUUGCACAAUGGGCGGAAGCCUGAUGCAGCAACGCCGCGUGCGGGAUGACGGCCUUCGGGUUGUAAACCGCUUUCGCCUGUGACGAAGCGUGAGUGACGGUAAUGGGUAAAGAAGCACCGGCUAACUACGUG